rnacentral:rRNA from 1 species
AUGCAGGUUACCCGCGACAGGACGGAAAGACCCCGUGGAGCUUUACUGCAGCCUGAUAUUGAAUGUUGGUACAGCUUGUACAGGAUAGGUAGGAGCCUUGGAAACCGGAGCGCCAGCUUCGGUGGAGGCAUCGGUGGGAUACUACCCUGGCUGUAUUGACCUUCUAACCCGCCGCCCUUAUCGGGCAGGGAGACAGUGUCAGGUGGGCAGUUUGACUGGGGCGGUCGCCUCCUAAAAGGUAACGGAGGCGCCCAAAGGUUCCCUCAGAAUGGUUGGAAAUCAUUCGCAGAGUGUAAAGGCACAAGGGAGCUUGACUGCGAGACCUACAAGUCGAGCAGGGACGAAAGUCGGGCUUAGUGAUCCGGUGGUUCCG